rnacentral:rRNA from 1 species
AUUGAACGCUGGCGGCAGGCCUAACACAUGCAAGUCGAGCGGAGCUGCGGACGGGUGAGUAAUGCCUAGGAAUCUGCCUGGUCGUGGGGUAUAACGUCCGGAAACGGGCGCUAAUACCGCAUACUAUCAGAUGAGCCUAGGUCGGGUUAGCUAGGUGGUGGGGUAAAGACCUACCAAGGCGACGAGCCGUACCUGGGCUGAGAGGAUGAUCAGUCACACUGGAACUGAGACACGGUCCAGACUCCGACGGGAGGCAGCAGUGGGGAAUAUUGGACAAUGGGCGAAAGCCUGAUCCAGCCAUGCCGCGUGGGGGAAGAAGGUCUGCGGAUUGUAAAGCACUUUAAGUUGGGAGGCGUUACCAACAGAAUAAGCACCGGCUAACUUCGUGCCAGCAGCCGCGGUAAUUC